rnacentral:misc_RNA from 1 species
CCUAUUCCCCUUAUUAUCAUAACAAUUGCACACAUCCCUAAGCAUCUAAUUCAUAUACUCAACCUUUCAUUUUCCUAAAUACAUGAAUCUAGCUUAUCUUAUCUCAAUUUUUAAUUAUAGUAAUUAUCUAGAAAAAUCUUACAUUUCCUAACAAUAAUAAUAAUAAUUCAAAAUUUUCACAAAUUUGUUAUGCAAAAAUAUCAAGAUGUGUGGUUUAUGACUUGUCAUAGAGAAGGGAUAAAGAUUCAAAUUCAUCCAUUUGUAAAGAUGUGCAAAUUUCAAGCUUAAUUAUCGAAAAAUGGUUAAGAAAUCGCCCCAACUGCUUAGAGUGGCAUACUUUGAGCUUAGAGACAUCAUGUAUAUAUGGAGGUCACAUCACAAAAAUAGAACUGUUUGUUAUAUAAAUUUAUAAUAAUAACAACAAGCAUUCAAAUGAUAUGCACAACCUUAUUUCCAUAUUUUCUAGACGAAUUCGUUCAACUAGUUCAAAAUCCUUAUCCGCUAUUUCAUUAAUCUUCUUUACAUCUUUCUUUGGUUGUCCACUUGACCUUUUGGCCAGAGUUUCUUUUAGCCCGAUCAGUCUUAAAAGAAACGCCCAAAGACGUGCAAUGAGAACGUCCACUUUCUCCAAGAUAAAAUAAUCAGUUGUUUGAUCAAUUCCAAUCCCUCGUCGGAAGAUAAUGUACUUAUCAGCAAAGUCAGGAAGCCUUUCAUGAUGGUGCUUAUCAAAGUAGCUUGUCAAAAGUUCCUUGUCAAGCUUAGUAUCAUCGACUGUGAUUGGAAGAUUUAAAAGAUACUGCCCUGAUAGCGCAACAUCAAUCUCCUCAUCGUUUGCUAUUUUGAAGUUGCUCUUAUCAAUCACCUGAAAAAGGUAUUUUAGAAAAUUCUGUUCAAGUACAUCAAUUUCUUCAGGAGAUAAGUUUUGCUGCUCCAAAUUCUCAGCCCCAGUCUCAGGGUAAAAGAGGUAAUGAAGUUGCAUCAAAUCUUCAAACUGC